rnacentral:rRNA from 1 species
UACAGAGGGUGCGAGCGUUGUCCGGAUUCAUUGGGCGUAAAGGGUGCGUAGGCGGUCGUGCAAGUCGGAUGUGAAAUCUCAGGGCUCAACCCUGAAACUGCAUUCGAUACUGCGCGGCUAGAGUGCUGGAGGGGAGACUGGAAUUUACGGUGUAGCAGUGAAAUGCGUAGAUAUCGUAAGGAAGACCAGUGGCGAAGGCGAGUCUCUGGACAGCAACUGACGCUGAGGCACGAAGGCCAGGGGAGCAAACGGG